ACUCACUUAUUAUAUCAAGUAAAUCUGACUUCCAAUCAGAAAGACCCUUCAAUGGGGAGUGGGUA
rnacentral:tRNA from 1 species